UACGAAGGGGGCUAGCGUUGCUCGGAUUGACUGGGCGUAAAGGGCGCGUAGGCGGUUCGUACAGUCAGACGUGAAAUUCCUGGGCUCAACCUGGGGGCUGCGUUUGAUACGUGCGGGCUUGAGUUCGGAAGAGGGUCGUGGAAUUCCCAGUGUAGAGGUGAAAUUCGUAGAUAUUCGCAAGAACACCAGUGGCGAAGGCGGCUCACUGGCCCGGUACUGACGCUGAGGUGCGAAAGCGUGGGGAGCAAACAGG
rnacentral:rRNA from 1 species